GGGAGCAUAACUUAGUGGUAGAGUGUGUACCUUACAAGCACGAAGUCGGGAGUUCGAUUCUCUCUGCUCCCA
rnacentral:tRNA from 1 species